rfam:Oryza glaberrima chromosome 7 Oglab07_0146_8, whole genome shotgun sequence.
CAUAAUCUAUACAUUGUGUGUCUAACAUUUGACUGACCGUCUUAUCUGAAUUUUUUUAUGAUUAGUAUUUUUGUUGUUAUUAAAUGAUAAAACAUGAAUAGUAUUUUAUAUGUGACUUAUUUUUUAAAAAAAUUAAAUAAGACGGACGGUCAAACGUUAGACAGAAACUCACGGAUGAACAUAUU